rnacentral:rRNA from 1 species
CACGUAGGCACCAAGCGUUGUCCGGAUUUAUUGGGCGUAAAGAGCUCGUAGGCGGUUCAGUAAGUCGGGUGUGAAAACUUUGGGCUUAACCCAAAGCGUGCAUCUGAUACUGCUGUGACUUGAGUUCGGUAGGGGAGUGGGGAAUUCCUAGUGUAGCGGUGAAAUGCGCAGAUAUUAGGAGGAACACCGGUGGCGAAGGCGCCACUCUGGGCCGAAACUGACGCUGAGACGCGAAAGCGUGGGGAGCAAACAGG